UACGGAGGGUGCAAGCGUUGCUCGGAAUUACUGGGCGUAAAGCGAGUGUAGGCGGUCUCGUAAGUCGGGUGUGAAAGCCCUGGGCUCAACCCAGGAAGUGCACUCGAAACUGCGAGGCUAGAGUACUGGAGAGGUUGGUGGAAUUCUCGGUGUAGAGGUGAAAUUCGUAGAUAUCGAGAGGAACACCGGUGGCGAAGGCGGCCAACUGGACAGAUACUGACACUGAGACUCGAAAGCGUGGGGAGCAAACAGG
rnacentral:rRNA from 1 species